rnacentral:tRNA from 1 species
GGUGCUAUGUCCGAGUGGUUAAGGAGACGCCCUGCUAUGGCUGAUUCGUCAGCACAACGUAGGCGUUGGGUUCUGCCCGCGCGAGUUCGAAUCUCGUUGGCAUCG